rnacentral:rRNA from 1 species
GACGAACGCUGGCGGCGUGCCUAAUACAUGCAAGUAGAACGCUGAAGGAGGAGCUUGCUUCUCUGGAUGAGUUGCGAACGGGUGAGUAACGCGUAGGUAACCUGCCUGGUAGCGGGGGAUAACUAUUGGAAACGAUAGCUAAUACCGCAUAAUAGUAGAUGUUGCAUGACAUUUGCUUAAAAGGUGCAAUUGCAUCACUACCAGAUGGACCUGCGUUGUAUUAGCUAGUUGGUGGGGUAACGGCUCACCAAGGCGACGAUACAUAGCCGACCUGAGAGGGUGAUCGGCCACACUGGGACUGAGACACGGCCCAGACUCCUACGGGCGGCAGCAGUAGGGAAUCUUCGGCAAUGGACGGAAGACUGACCGAGCAACGCCGCGUGAGUGAAGAAGGUUUUCGGAUCGUAAAGCUCUGUUGUAAGAGAAGAACGAGUGUGAGAGUGGAAAGUUCACACUGUGACGGUAUCUUACCAGAAAGGGACGGCUAACUACGUG